GAAUAAGAAGCAAUCAAUGCAUUUAGUUUCGACCUAAACCUAGGUAUUUAAUAUAUUUACCCUUAUUCU
rnacentral:tRNA from 1 species